rnacentral:rRNA from 1 species
GUUGUAUGGUUAAGUGACUAAGCGUACACGGUGGAUGCCUUGGCAGUCAGAGGCGAUGAAAGACGUAGUAACUUGCGAUAAGCCCAGAUUAGGUAGUAACAACCAUUUGAGUCUGGGAUUUCUGAAUGGGGAAACCCACGUGCAUAAGCACGUAUCCUUACCUGAAUACAUAGGGUAAGGAGGCGAACCGGGGGAACUGAAACAUCUAAGUACCCCGAGGAAAAGAAAUCAACCGAGAUUCCGAAAGUAGCGGCGAGCGAAAUUGGACUAGCCCUUAAGCUUUACACGCGUUAGACGAACGGUCUGGAAAGUCCGACGAUACAGGGUGAUAGUCCCGUAGUUGACGACGUGUGUUCAGUGAAAUCGAGUAGGGCGGGACACGUGAUAUCCUGUCUGAAUAUGGGGGGACCAUCCUCCAAGGCUAAAUACUACUGACUGACCGAUAGUGAACCAGUACCGUGAGGGAAAGGCGAAAAGAACCCCUGUGAGGGGAGUGAAAUAGAACCUGAAACCGUGUACGUACAAGCAGUAGGAGCAGGCUUUGUCCUGUGACUGCGUACCUUUUGUAUAAUGGGUCAGCGACUUAUAUUCAGUGGCAAGGUUAACCAUCUAGGGGAGCCGUAGGGAAACCGAGUCUUAACUGGGCGUUCAGUCUCUGGAUAUAGACCCGAAACCAGGUGAUCUAGCCAUGGGCAGGUUGAAGGUUGAGUAACAUCAACUGGAGGACCGAACCGACUAAUGUUGAAAAAUUAGCGGAUGACUUGUGGCUAGGGGUGAAAGGCCAAUCAAACCUGGAGAUAGCUGGUUCUCCCCGAAAGCUAUUUAGGUAGCGCCUCGGACGAAUACUACUGGGGGUAGAGCACUGUUAAGGCUAGGGGGUCAUCCCGACUUACCAACCCUUUGCAAACUCCGAAUACCAGUAAGUACUAUCCGGGAGACACACGGCGGGUGCUAACGUCCGUCGUGGAGAGGGAAACAACCCAGACCGCCAGCUAAGGUCCCAAAUUACUACUAAGUGGGAAACGAUGUGGGAAGGCUCAGACAGCCAGGAUGUUGGCUUAGAAGCAGCCAUCAUUUAAAGAAAGCGUAAUAGCUCACUGGUCGAGUCGGCCUGCGCGGAAGAUGUAACGGGGCUAAGUAGUAAACCGAAGCUGCGGCAAUGUGCUUUUGCACAUUGGGUAGGGGAGCGUUCUGUAAGCGGUUGAAGGUGUGUGGUAACGCAUGCUGGACGUAUCAGAAGUGCGAAUGCUGACAUGAGUAACGAUAAAGGGGGUGAAAAACCUCCUCGCCGGAAGACCAAGGGUUCCUGUCCAACGUUAAUCGGGGCAGGGUAAGUCGACCCCUAAGGCGAGGCCGAAAGGCGUAGUCGAUGGGAAACGGGUUAAUAUUCCCGUACUUCUUACAAUUGCGAUGGGGGGACGGAGAAGGCUAGGUGGGCCUGGCGACGGUUGUCCAGGUUCAAGUGCGUAGGCUUAAGAGUUAGGUAAAUCCGGCUCUUUUUAAGGCUGAGACACGACGUCGAGCACCUACGGGUGUGAAGUCAUUGAUGCCAUGCUUCCAGGAAAAGCCUCUAAGCUUCAGAUUGUAAGGAAUCGUACCCCAAACCGACACAGGUGGUCGGGUAGAGAAUACCAAGGCGCUUGAGAGAACUCGGGUGAAGGAACUAGGCAAAAUGGUACCGUAACUUCGGGAGAAGGUACGCUCUUGACGGUGAAGUCCCUCGCGGAUGGAGCUGACGAGAGUCGCAGAUACCAGGUGGCUGCAACUGUUUAUUAAAAACACAGCACUGUGCAAAAUCGUAAGAUGACGUAUACGGUGUGACGCCUGCCCGGUGCCGGAAGGUUAAUUGAUGGGGUUAGACUUCGGUCGAAGCUCUUGAUCGAAGCCCCGGUAAACGGCGGCCGUAACUAUAACGGUCCUAAGGUAGCGAAAUUCCUUGUCGGGUAAGUUCCGACCUGCACGAAUGGCGUAAUGAUGGCCACGCUGUCUCCACCCGAGACUCAGUGAAAUUGAAAUCGCUGUGAAGAUGCAGUGUACCCGCGGCUAGACGGAAAGACCCCGUGAACCUUUACUACAGCUUGGCACUGAACAUUGACCCUACAUGUGUAGGAUAGGUGGGAGGCUUUGAAGCAGGUACGCCAGUAUCUGUGGAGCCGUCCUUGAAAUACCACCCUUGUAGUGUUGAUGUUCUAACGUCGACCCCUUAUCGGGGUUGCGGACAGUGCCUGGUGGGUAGUUUGACUGGGGCGGUCUCCUCCCAAAGAGUAACGGAGGAGCACGAAGGUGGGCUAAUCACGGUUGGACAUCGUGAGGUUAGUGCAAUGGCAUAAGCCCGCUUGACUGCGAGAAUGACAAUUCGAGCAGGUGCGAAAGCAGGUCAUAGUGAUCCGGUGGUUCUGAAUGGAAGGGCCAUCGCUCAACGGAUAAAAGGUACUCCGGGGAUAACAGGCUGAUACCGCCCAAGAGUUCAUAUCGACGGCGGUGUUUGGCACCUCGAUGUCGGCUCAUCACAUCCUGGGGCUGAAGUCGGUCCCAAGGGUAUGGCUGUUCGCCAUUUAAAGUGGUACGCGAGCUGGGUUUAGAACGUCGUGAGACAGUUCGGUCCCUAUCUGCCGUGGGCGUUGGAAGAUUGAAGGGGGCUGCUCCUAGUACGAGAGGACCGGAGUGGACGAACCUCUGGUGUUCGGGUUGUGUCGCCAGACGCAUUGCCCGGUAGCUAAGUUCGGAAUCGAUAACCGCUGAAAGCAUCUAAGCGGGAAGCGAGCCCUGAGAUGAGUCUUCCCUGAUACUUUAAGUAUCCUAAAGGGUUGUCGGAGACUACGACGUUGAUAGGUCAGGUGUGUAAGUGCUGUGAGGCAUUGAGCUAACUGAUACUAAUUGCCCGUGAGGCUUAACCAUACAACACCCAAGGGGUUU